AUUAGGAUGAGAAAUGCCGAGAUUAUUUAUUUAUUUAUUUUUAGAGACAGGGUCUAGCUCUGUCUCCUAGGCUGGACUGCAGUGGUGCCAUCAUAGCUCAAUGCAGCCUUGAACUCCUGAGCUCAAGUGAUCCUCCCGCUUCAGCCUCCUGAGUAGCUCCCAAGUGCACACUGCCAUGCCCAGCUAAUUUUUUUCAUUUUCGGUAGAGACAGGGGUCUUGCUGUGUUGCCCAGGCUGGUCUCCAACUUCUGGGCUCAAGCAAUCUUCCCACUUCGGCCUCCCAAAGUGGUGAGAUUAUAGGUGUGAGCCACCGUGCCUGGUGGAGAAACGAAUAGUUUAAUAGCACUUUUAUCCAAUGUGCUUUGUUGGUUGAGUAACUGACUUUGGUUCAGGUAGA
rnacentral:lncRNA from 1 species